rnacentral:rRNA from 1 species
CCUACGGGAGGCAGCAGUGAGGAAUAUUGGUCAAUGGCCGGAAGGCUGAACCAGCCAUGCCGCGUGAAGGUCAGUGCCCUAUGGGCGUUAAACUUCUUUUGUGCGGGAGCAAUAAUGGUCACGUGUGGCCAGACGAGAGUACCGUACGAAUAAGCAUCGGCUAACUCCGUGCCAGCAGCCGCGGUAAUACGGGGGAUGCAAGCGUUAUCCGGAUUUAUUGGGUGUAAAGGGUGCGUAGGCUGUGAGGUAAGUCAGCAGUGAAAUGCCCCCGCUCAACGGGGUGAAGUGCCAUUGAUACUGCCUGGCUGGAAUGCGGAUGCCGUGGGAGGAAUGUGUGGUGUAGCGGUGAAAUGCAUAGAUAUCACACAGAACACCGAUUGCGAAGGCAUCUCACGAAUCCGCGAUUGACGCUGAUGCACGAAAGCGUGGGUAUCAAACAGGAUUAGAUACCCCGGUAGUC